UUUUUUUUUUAAUUUUAACAAGAGGUGGUUUGUACAGUGGAAUACUCAACUAUCACUUGGUAAUCAAACACGUAGUCAAUAUUAGCAUUGGCUCUUAGUUUGAACCUAAAUGAAAUGUGGGUUUUGUUUUGAUCCAUGUCACUUUUCUGAAAUCUGCAGUUAUGCUUGAUUGAGACAGGCUGUGGCAGCCAACACAGUAGCUGGCAGACGAUUCUUCAAUACAGAACGAACUUGACUGACCCAGUUAUCCAUCUCCUACCCCAGUGCAAAUGGCAGGACAAGCCACCUGUUCACCACCUUCUUCUUGCCGUGCCAAUGCCCUUGACAUAGAUCCAGCUAAAAUAAUCUUACUUCAUAGAACAGAAGAAGUCUGCAGAAAUCAUUGAGGAAACCACCUUCACCCACAUGGGAUGGAUAAAGAGAAAACUCUCUAGUUUUUUAAAUCAAACCUCUGUGGCUUUGAAGUUGAGCCCUGGCAAAUAUGUUUGGGAGCUUGCUUUCUUGGGUCCAUGACUUACAGUUACUAAAAUAUAGCAUGGUUAGAUUUCUGGUUCUCACCCAUGUGCUACUGGUUCUGAAUUGCUAUACUGGGCAGCUCUUCCAGACUGAUCUGGGAGGUGACACAUAGAAACCUUGGGUCAAAGGCUAUGAUGGUCAUAGCCAGUCAACUGACUUAAUGAAACAGCUUAAUUUUUUUUGGUCACUGGCUUUCUGUCCACAAAGACAAAUAAUGACAAAAUUUCUUCGAUUGCAAUGUAUGGACUUUAUGUCCACUUUCUACACUUGUUUUAAAGAAUUAUUUAAAAUAUCAAUGAAGCAAGUGUUGACAAGUUAUUGAUAAAUGUUGGUACCAAAAGAACUAGAAUCAGCUAAGAUAUUUAAUAAGAUUCUAUCUUAGCAUAGCAGUUUAUUAACUGUUUCUGAACAUCAUAUAAUAGAUACCACAGGGAGCCUCUGUAGAAUGGCUUUUAGUGGUGGUAGAAGUUUAUCUGUCUAAAGUUGUUUAGAUACAAUUCAACACAAAAUUUUGACUUUUAAAGCUCAUUCAUAGGGCUUAGAGUUGACUGUGUAUUUAGACUACUUUCUUGUUAAAGUUUAAUAUUCAUUAGGAAAUAAAAUACAUAAGGAUUAUAGUUAACAAUAAAAUAUUAUAGUGAGGAUUUUUUUUCCUAAAUAAGUAAAUCAUAGCUACAUUUCAAUGGGAACUAGUAACUGAAAUGAUUGACAUGUCCAUUUGUUCCAUCUUCAUACCCAUUUUACUAUAUGUACACGUACAUCUUGUGAAAGGAAAAUAAAUGUUGUCACUAUGCUCUUCAAAAUAAAAGUUGAACUCUC